AAAACACGGAUGAACGCUAGCGACAGGCUUAACACAUGCAAGUCGAGGGGCAGCACGGGAGUAGCAAUACAACUGGUGGCGACCGGCGCACGGGUGAGUAACGCGUAUGCAACCUACCUAUCAGAGGGGAAUAACCCGGCGAAAGUCGGACUAAUACCGCAUAAAACAGGGGCACCGCAUGGUGAUAUUUGUUAAAGAAAUUCGCUGAUAGAUGGGCAUGCGUUCCAUUAGGUAGUUGGUGAGGUAACGGCUCACCAAGCCGACGAUGGAUAGGGGAACUGAGAGGUUGGUCCCCCACACUGGUACUGAGACACGGACCAG
rnacentral:rRNA from 1 species